GGGUGGUAAUGCCGGAUGCUCCAGUUGAUCGCAUGGUCUUCUGGGAAAGCUUUCGCGGUAUGGGAUGGGGUCGCGUCCUAUCAGCUUGACGGCGGGGUAACGGCCCACCGUGGCUUCGACGGGUAGCCGGCCUGAGAGGGCGACCGGCCACAUUGGGACUGAGAUACGGCCCAGACUCCUACGGGAGGCAGCAGUGGGGAAUAUUGCACAAUGGGCGCAAGCCUGAUGCAGCGACGCCGCGUGAGGGAUGGAGGCCUUCGGGUUGUAAACCUCUUUUAUCGGGGAGCAAGCGAGAGUGAGUUUACCCGUUGAAUAAGCACCGGCUAACUACGUGCCAGCAGCCGCGGUAAUACGUAGGGUGCAAGCGUUAUCCGGAAUUAUUGGGCGUAAAGGGCUCGUAGGCGGUUCGUCGCGUCCGGUGUGAAAGUCCAUCGCUUAACGGUGGAUCCGCGCCGGGUACGGGCGGGCUUGAGUGCGGUAGGGGAGACUGGAAUUCCCGGUGUAACGGUGGAAUGUGUAGAUAUCGAAAAAAAAACACCA
rnacentral:rRNA from 1 species